rnacentral:rRNA from 1 species
UACAGAGGGUGCAAGCGUUGUUCGGAAUUACUGGGCGUAAAGCGCGUGUAGGCGGCGUCGUUAGUCGAAUGUGAAAGCCCUCGGCUCAACCGAGGAAGUGCAUCCGAUACUGCGACGCUUGAGUGUUGGAGGGGGUGGCGGAAUUCCCGGUGUAGAGGUGAAAUUCGUAGAUAUCGGGAGGAACACCAGUGGCGAAGGCGGCUCACUGGCCCGGUACUGACGCUGAGGUGCGAAAGCGUGGGGAGCAAACAGG